rnacentral:lncRNA from 10 species
GCACGUGACCGGUUCUCACCAACCCCGCCCCUCCCCAAGAGAGCCCGGGCCGGAAGGUGGCCGCAAUGCCAGCUUGGACCCCUCACCCGAAAUGACCUUCGGGCCUCUCAAAAUAUCAAAGAACUGAAACUCACCAGAUAACCACAUCCAGACAAUGAGAUGCUGGACCCCCCAAAUUCAUCAGGAUUGCUUUCUGGGCCCUCCCGAGUUCCUGUUUUCCUACACAUUGGUGCAUUUCUUCCUGGCUAUAUAAACCCCUAGUUUUAGUCAGGGGGAUGGAUUUGAGACUUAACUCCCAUCUCCCCGGCUGCAGCACCCAAUUAAAG